CCCAGUGCAGCGCGUUUCCCCAGCUUUUGCUGACUGCAUGUAGAAUUCGGGUGUCCUUCGGGUGCUCAGUGGGUGCACAGCCGUGUCCUCUGCUGGUGAGAGGCGGCUGCCGCCGAGGCCCCUGGGUGUGGUGUGCGUCUCUGGCUGCUUUUGAGGUUCUCUGUAUCAGUCUUGCAGUGACCUGCCUCAGUGGGUUCCUCCAGGCUUCUGUCCAGCUUGAGGUUCAGUGAGCCCCGUGGAUCCAUAGCUGAGGUACUUAAUACAUUUGGGGAAAUGCUUCAUUUGUCUCUCUUAAAAUGUGCCCUCUCCCGGUGGCUCACCUCUGUAAUCCCAGCACUUUGGGAGGCCAAGACAGGUGGAUCACUUCAGGUCAGGGGUUUGAGACCAGCCUGGCCAACAUGGAUAAACCCUGUCUCUACUAAAGAUACAAAAAUUAGCUGGGUGUGGUGGGAGUGCGUGUAAUCCCAGCUAUUCAGAAGGCUGAGGCAGGAGAACCACAUGUGCCUGUGCAUGUCUGUGUGUGUGCCUGUGUGCGCCUGUGUGUGCCUGUGUGUGUACCCAUGUGCGUGUGCCUGUAUGUGUGCCUCUGCAUGUGCAUGUGUGUGCCUGUGUGUACCCGUGUGCCUGUGUGUGCCUGUGUGUACCUGUGUGCAUGUGCAUGUGUGUGCCUCUGUGUGCGUGUAUGUACCUGUGCAUGUCUGUGUGUGUGCCUGUGUGUGCCUGUGUGCGUGUGCCUGUAUGUGUGCUUGUGCAUGUGCAUGUGUGUGCCUGUGUGUACCUGUGUGCAUGUGCCUGUGUGUGCCUCUGUGUGCGUGUAUGUACCUGUGCAUGUCUGUGUGUGUGCCUGUGUGUGCCUGUGCCUGUGCAUGUGCGCCUGUGUGUACCGUGCACGUGUGCCUGUGUGUGCCUUUGUGUGCCUGUGUGCAUGUGCCUGUGUGCGUGUGCCUGUAUGUGUGCCUCUGCAUGUGCAUAUGUGUGCCUGUGUGUGUAUGUACCUGUGCAUGUCUGUGUGUGUGCCUGUGUGCACCUGUGUGCCUGUGUGUGUGUGCCUCUGCAUGUGCAUGUGUGUGCCUGUGUGUGUACCCAUGUGCGUGUGCCUGUGUGUGCUUGUGUGUGCCUGUGUGUGCGUGUAUGUACCUGUGCAUGUCUGUGUGUGCCUGUGUGUACCUGUGUGUGUUCGUGUGCCUGUAUGUGUGCCUGUGCAUGUGCAUGUGUGUGCCUGUGUGUGUACCGUGUGCGUGUGCCUGUGCGUGCCUGUGUGUGUACCUGUGUGCAUGUGCAUGUGUGUGCCUGUGUGUACCGUGUGCUUGUGCCUGUGUGUGUACCUGUGUGCAUUUGCCUGUAUGUGUGCCUCUGCAUGUGUAUGUGCCUGUGUGUGUACCCGUAUGCGUGUGCCUGUGUGUGUCUGUGUGUGCCUGUGGGUGUACCUAUGUGUGCGUGUGUCCCUGUGUGUGUGAUGGCGUGAUGGGCAGGGAGUGGGGACGGCCUUGUCAGGAUGAGACAGAUGUUGCUGCAGGGGUGGACCCCAGCCCCCACCCUCUGCUGGGUGUGGCCCCGGCUGCCCCUCUUGUUGGUCCAGAGCAGGGAGAGGCUGGCCGGGGCUGCCCCGACCCCGUGGACGGCCAGAUGCUCCAGGGUGUCUGCAGCCCCAUCCGAGUCCUGUCCUGUACUCUGACGGACACAGACAUUUUCAGUUUCCUGUGUCCCCUGGAGACAGGCAGGCCCAAGCCCAGCCCCUGCCUGCUCUUCCUGCCCACUUCUAGGAGAUUCUUGAAUGUUUUGAGGUUCCCCCAUCAUUGCCGGGCUUCCUCUUGUUUAAUCCAGAAAGGGUUGGCAGGUGAGCCUGAAGUCUUGCCUGGACCUUUGUUCCUCCGUGCAGGCCCUGCCUGGACGCCCUGUGGCUCCCAAGUCGUGUCCCCGCCCCCUUGGUCCCCAGCUCCAGCCUCUUCCUCCCCACCUGGCCUUCACCCCAGGAUCCACCCCUCCCUGCAGCCUCCUCCCUGGCCAUCAUCCUACUCAUGGCCUGGCUGGGGGACUCCUCCGGUCACUCCUGUCCUCAGUUCUAGGUGGGGCCAGCAGUCCUGGGGCUCAGCCUCUGUGCAGUGUCCAGCAGGUGCCCAGCAACUCCCUGCUUUUCCGCUUCAACAGCCCAGCUUGGAGGUCUCAUGGGGAAGGGGUCUGCACCCACCAAGGCACCCUUGGCCCUCUGGCUGGGUGCUGGAAGGUGGGUUUCAACCCUGGGACCUGACUGGGGCCUCCCCCUGGCAUCUUUCAUUUGGGUGCAGAGCAGAGCGGACCUUUGGGAUGCACACGGCGAUGCCAUCAGGUCUUCAGGGGCUUUGCACUGCCUGUGGGCGCCAGAUGUGGCCAGCCUUGGGCCUCUUCCUGGUGUCAUCCCCGUCUGUGCUUUGGAGGGGAGGACAUUGUGACAGCUGAGGGCUGUGGAUGUCUGGGGGCUCUCAUUUAAUCUUCCCCUGCUAGGACGGGGUGGCUGGAGAUCCCUGAGGCUGGGUGCACCCAGGGUCACACUCAGGAGGGAAGCAGGCGUCUACGGUCCUGCCCUGGCUCCCACCCGCUGGCUGCAGAGAUACCUGCCUCUGCUUGGAAGGGACCUGGGUUCCGGAACAGCCUGAGGCUGGGAAGCUGCCCGCUCCUUCACUCUCUGGCCCGUGGCGGGAGCUGCAUCCCCACUUUUGUUUGGGUGCCGGGCUGGGAGGGCGGGAGCCAGGCAGAGGCAGUGGAGCUGUCUUCAAAGAGAUGCACCGCCCCUCCUUCCGCGCCUGGCGCUGGUAGGCGGCGGAGGCUGUGGGAUCUAUUAAUGUUCUGAGCGUGUGCUGGGGGUCUCCUCCUUCCUGCCCCCGCCCUGGCUCCUCUGUCAGGCUGUCGCCAUGGGUGUGUGGGGUGGGGGUCUCCUCCUUCCUGCCCCCACCCUGGCUCCUCUGUCAGGCUGUCGCCAUGGGUGUGUGGGGUGGGGGGUCUCCUCCUUCCUGCCCCCGCCCUGGCUCCUCUGUCAGGCUGUCGCCAUGGGUGUGUGGGGUGGGGGGUCUCCUCCUUCCUGCCCCCGCCCUGGCUCCUCUGUCAGGCUGUCGCCAUGGGUGUGUGGGGUGGGGGGUCUCCUCCUUCCUGCCCCCGCCCUGGCUCCUCUGUCAGGCUGUCGCCAUGGGUGUGUGGGGUGGGGGGUCUCCUCCUUCCUGCCCCCGCCCUGGCUCCUCUGUCAGGCUGUCGCCAUGGGUGUGUGGGGUGGGGGGUCUCCUCCUUCCUGCCCCCGCCCUGGCUCCUCUGUCAGGCUGUCGCCAUGGGUGUGUGGGGUGGGGGGUCUCCUCCUUCCUGCCCCCGCCCUGGCUCCUCUGUUGGGCUGUCGCCAGGGGUGCGUGGGGUGGGGGGUCUCCUUCCUGCCCCCGCCCUGGCUCCUCUGUCAGGCUCUUGCCAUGGGUGUGUGGGGUGGGGGGGUCUCCUUCCUGCCCCCGCCCUGGCUCCUCUGUCAGGCUGUCGCCAUGGGUGUGUGGGGUGGGGGGUCUCCUCCUUCCUGCCCCCGCCCUGGCUCCUCUGUCAGGCUGUCGCCAGGGGUGCGUGGGGUGGGGGACUCCUCCUUCCUGCCCCCGCCCCGGCUCCUCUGUCAGGCUAUUGCCGUGGGUGUUCAGGGUGGAGUUGCAUAGAGCCUGGCAUGCCCUAAACUGAGGAGGCCGAGGGUUGGGGAGCAGGAGCUGGGGUGCUAAUGAGGGAAUGAGGUUUCAGUGUCUGUGGCAACUUCAGAGGCCCCUGUCAGGGCAAGUGGGGGUACCCCCAACCCGGGGAGCAAAGCUGCCGCCCAACACCGGGGCCGUGCCUGAGAUGAGAGCACAUCAGCCUGGGAGAGGAGGGCGCAGGUUGGGGCAGGGGCUGGGCAGGCUGAGGGGUCUCACCCAAAGCUGAGGUACCAAGUGGGGAGACGGUGGCGCCUGUGGCUGUGUCGCCGUCCUCCAUGUAUUUGAGGCGGGGUCAGGACCAACGGUGUGGUUGGGUGAGAGCCCAGUCCAGCCCCAGCUGUGAGCUUCCCCUCCGGGAGUGUGCAGGUGGGUGGCAACAGGGGCGAGUCAAGCAGAUUGUGGAGUGGGGGCUGGCCGGGCCUCAUGGCAGCUCCCAGCCCCGGCCCCCUCCUGAGCUGUUUGUUGUCCUGUGUGUGUGUGUGUGUGUGUGUGUGUGUGUGGUCCCCGUUUAGUGUCCUGUGUGCACAGAGUCCUGGGUGGGGCCUGCCCUCCUCCAGCCUCUUCUCUACCCUGUCUGCUGCAUGCCACCCAUCGGGUGCUCUGGGGAGGAGGAGGUCCCUGUGUCGCUAGGGAGGUUUGCUGGCCAUGGGGGGAGCAGCCCAUGAGGCUGAGGCUGGCUUGGGAGUCAGGAGGCUCUGUGGUGGGCACUGGUACAUGAGGAGCUGUGGGGUCUGUGCAGAGGGGCCGUGUGCCACUGGCCUUGUGAGUGUGCAGUGUCUACACCGUCCUUAUCCCAUCUCCUGAGCGUGCGGUGUCUACACCGCCCCCACCCCGUCUCCCGAGUGUGCGGUGUCUACACCGUCCCCACCCCGUCUCCCGAGCGUGCGGUGUCUACACCGUCCCCACCCCGUCUCCCGAGCGUGCGGUGUCUACACCGCCCUCACCCUGUCUCCCGAGCGUGCGGUGUCUACACCGCCCUCACCCCGUCUCCUGAGCGUGCGGUGUCUACACCGUCCUCAGUGUCUACACCCCACCCCGUCUCCUGAGCAUGUGGUGUCUACACCGCCCCCACCCCGUCUCCCGAGCGUGCGGUGUCUACACCGCCCCCACCCCGUCUCCCAAGCGUGCGGUGUCUACACCGCCCCCACCCCGUCUCCCGAGCGUGCGGUGUCUACACCGCCCCCACCCCGUCUCCCGAGCGUGCGGUGUCUACACCGCCCUCACCCCGUCUCCCGAGCGUGCGGUGUCUACACCGCCCCCACCCCGUCUCCCGAGCGUGCGGUGUCUACACCGCCCUCACCGCGUCUCCCGAGCGUGCGGUGUCUACACAGCCCUCACCGCGUCUCCUGAGCGUGCGGUGUCUACACAGCCCUCACCGCGUCUCCUGAGCGUGCGGUGUCUACAGUUUCCUCACCCCGUCUCCUGAGCGUGCGCUGUCUCUAGUGUCCUCAGUCCCAUCUCCUGAGCAUGCGGUGUCUACAGUGUCCUCACCCCGUCUCCUGAGCAUGCGGUGUCUACAGUGUCCUCACCCCGUCUCCUGAGCGUGUGGUGUCUACACUGCCCCCACCCCGUCUCCUGAGCGUGCGGUGUCUACACUGCCCCCACCCCGUCUCCCGAGCGUGCGGUGUCUACACAGCCCUCACCCGUCUCCUGAGCGUGCGGUGUCUACAGUGUCCUCACCCCGUCUCCUGAGCGUGCGGUGUCUACACUGCCCUCACCCCGUCUCCUGAGCGUGCGGUGUCUACACUGUCCUCACCCCGUCUCCUGAGCGUGCGGUGUCUACAGUGUCCUCACCCCGUCUCCUGAGCGUGCGGUGUCUACACCGCCCUCACCACGUCUCCUGAGCGUGCGGUGUCUACACAGCCCUCACCCCGUCUCCUGAGCGUGUGGUGUCUACACAGCCCUCACCCGUCUCCUGAGCGUGCGGUGUCUACAGUGUCCUCACCCCGUCUCCUGAGCGUGCGGUGUCUACACCGUCCUCACCCUGUCUCCUGAGCGUGCGGUGUCUACACCGUCCUCACCCUGUCUCCUGAGCGUGCGGUGUCUACACCGGCCUCACCGUGUCUCCUGAGCGUGUGGUGUCUACAGUGUCCUCACCCUGUCUCCUGAGCGUGUGGUGUCUACACUGCCCUCACCACGUCUCCUGAGCGUGCAGUGUCUACACUGCCCUCACCACGUCUCCUGAGCAUGCGGUGUCUACAGUGUACUCACCCCAUGUCCUGAGUGUGCGGUGUCUACACCGUCCUCACCCCCCCCCGAGUGUGCAGCAUCUACGGCACCCACCCCCCCAGGACACACUGCUGAUAGCAAUCUCUCCCGGUCAUGUAGUCCAGGGUGGGGCCUCCAAGACAGUGAAACCUCCUUCCAGGGACACUCCACGCUACCCCCGACAGUGCUGACCAUGGGCUGGAAGAGCUCCGUGACCCCACGGUCCCCUGGAGCGGGGACUGCCCCCAGCUCAGCUGCCUGUCAGGAUGGACACACUCCCUCUGGGUCUCACUUUUGCCCUCUCUUUGCCCAGCCUUGUGUUCACUCCUCAAGCCAGGACCGAGGAGACAACAGAGAUACAGCUUGCGCCGGCCCCAGCUGGGGGUUGCUGCCUGUCCAGGAAGCCCCACAGCCAGCCCCAACCUGGUCAUGCGUGUGAGGAUGGGCCUUGGCAGACCUGGGUUUCUGAGCAGGUGCCCUUGCUCCCCAGGCCUCCGUGUCCCCUCCUGGGAAAGGGACAGAGCUUUGUGAGGAUCUAGGGGAGGGUAAUGCAGCUUGGGAGCCUUAGCUUGGCCAGAGAGCAGCCUGGAGGCCGAUAUCCAGGCACCUCCAGGGUCCACACACCCCAGGGCCUCCCCCAAGAACUGCAUCUCCUGCGGGAUGUGGUGGGGACAGUGGGGUCCUGGCUGUCUGGGCUUCAGGAACAACGGAACCGGGUACCCUCCCCCAAGCCCCAUCCUUAGCGUCUGGAGGCUGAGAGUGGGCCCGAGACCUUGUACAUUCUUUAGAGUGGAGCCUGUGGAACCUCUGCUUGGGAGCUGAGGCCUCUGGCCAGGCUCAGACUCUUGGGGAGCAUGUCUGGGGAGAAGCUCCUGAGACCAGGAGAGGGAUAAGGUCAGGCGGCCACAGUGGUCCUGGAAUUUGAGAUCCCUGAGGAGGGUCAUGAUGAAGGGUGCUGUCCAUGGACACUUGUGUGAGUGGAGGAGGCACAUGUGAGGUCCCUGCUGCCGGUACACGUUCCCCAGACCUGCUCACUCAACAGCAGAGAUACAUUCUUUUACCUUCUGGAUGCAGGACGUCCACGAUGCGGGGUGGGUGGGGCUGGCUCUUCCAGGUGCCAGGAAGCUCUGCUCCUCGCCUCUCCUGGCUAGGUUUUCCUGGUGCCCUGGGCCUGCCUGCAGAAGCCCCCCUCAACAUCUUGCUCUCACCCUCACGUGGCACCCUCCCGGUGUGUCCCCAGCCAUGCGUUCCUCUGCCUUUCUCUGAUAGGAAGGCUGGCUGUUGGGUUUAGGGUCCACACCAAAUCCCAGGUGAUGUUAUAUUGAGAUCCAUAACUUAGAAACCUCUGCAGAGGCCAUUUUACCAAGUCAGGUCACAUUCCUGAGCCUCGGGCAUCGGGACACAAAUCUUUCAGGGACCACCCUUCCAUCCAUGCAUCUUCCAGCUGUGAUGUGGGGCCCCCUUGGCAUCCCCGUGGCCUCCAGAGCUGCUCUGUGAGCCCCAGGGAGCCCCACCAUUCCCCUGGAGUGACAGCAGGUCCUGCAGACCAGGCAGAGGGAAGCCUCUGCUGGGGGGGUCCCCCAGGGCCCCUGCCAGGCUCUCACCUGCACUGCCUCAACAUGGAGGGUGCCCAGCAGUGGGUGGCUCUGAGCAUGGGGGCAAGAGGAAGAAGGGCAGUGAGAACUGGAGGAGACAAGGUGUCCCUGUGGGGUGGCCCCCCUCAGGAUCCUUCCAGGCAGACAGUGGGGCUGUGUGACCAGCGUGGGAAUCAAGGGUAGAUGAGGGGCCUCCUUCACUGGGGUGGGGCCCAGCAGCAGGAACUCCCCCAGCAUUUAAAGGAGAAGCAUCCAGGACCCUUCACCAGGACCUGGACUGCUCUGUGCCCCGACAGGAUGGGAUGGCUGCAUACCUGCUGCCCUGUCCUCCACCUGCAUCCAGCCAGCAGGCCAUUUCUCCCACGCUUCACCCUCCACCCUAGCCCAGGAGGCCCAGGCUCAGGAUCUGUGGAGACUGGGUGGAUAGAGGGAGUCCUGGGGGUCAGGCAGGGCCCUGUGGAGCUGGCUGGGGCUCUGUUCAGACAGACAGGGUCUCUGGACCUGGGCUUCUGCCAGGCGGGCUCCCUGGGGCAGGUUGGUGGGGUGGGGGCAGGAGGCGGGGGCCGAGCAGGACUGUGCUUCCCCUUUCCAGGGCUCACACACAGCACCUGUGGAGCCAGCGGCUGGUGGGAGAGGUGUUCCUGCCGCCUCUGCAGGUGAAGACUCGGGGGUCCUUGUCAGAGGCUGCGUGGUCGGUGGGAUUGGCGCCAGGGAGGCCAUGUGAUUCCUACUUAGUGACGCUGUCCUGCCAGGCCUGGUGAAGCUGGGGGUUCACUGUGUCACCUGCCAGAAGGUGGCCAUCAAGAUCGUCAACCGUGAGAAGCUCAGCGAGUCUGUGCUGAUGAAGGUG